rnacentral:rRNA from 1 species
UAUUCUAAAUCACUAUAAUGGUAUAUCUAGUUUUAGAUCUUGCAUAUCUUCUAUUGAAAGCUCUUCUGUAAUCUGCUUUUGUUUAUAGAUUUAUCUGUAAGCGAAAUCAAUUUCUAUAUUUUUGACCUCAAAUCAGGCAGGAGUACCCGCUGAACUUAAGCAUAUCAAUAAGCGGAGGAAAAGAAACCAACAGGGAUUGCCUUAGUAACUGCGAGUGAAGCGGCAAAAGCUCAAAUUUGAAAUCUGUCACUUUUAGUGUCCGAAUUGUAAUUUGUAGAAGCAACUUUGGUCUUGGUCCUUGCAUAUGUUCCUUGGAAUAGGAUAUCAUAGAGGGUGAGAAUCCCGUAUAUGGUGAGGAAUCCUCGACUGUGUAAAGUGCUUUCGAAGAGUCGAGUUGUUUGGGAAUGCAGCUCUAAGUGGGUGGUAAAUUCCAUCUAAAGCUAAAUAUUGGCGAGAGACCGAUAGCGAACAAGUACAGUGAUGGAAAGAUGAAAAGAAGACCGAAAGGUCAGUGAAAAAGGACGUGAAAUUGUUGAAAGGGAAGCGUUUGGGAUCAGUCUUGGAAUUUAGUGAUCAGUCUUCCUUUUGGUUGGUGCACUCACUAUUUUCUAGGCCAACAUCAGUUUUCGCGGUAGGAUAAUGAUCUUGGAAUGUGGCUUUUUCGGAAGUGUUAUAGCCUUGAUUGAUGCUACCUGCUUAGACUGAGGUCUGCGCAUUUUGCUAGGAUGUUGGCAUAAUGAUCUUAAGCGGCCCGUCUUGAAACACGGACCAAGGAGUCUAACAACUAUGCGAGUG